rnacentral:misc_RNA from 1 species
GGAAGGAUCAUUAUUGAAUAAACCUGAUGGGUUGUUGCUGGCUCUCUAGAGAGCAUGUGCACGCCUUGUCAUCUUUAAAUCUCCACCUGUGCACCUUUUGUAGACCUUUUCAGGUCUAUGUUGUCUCAUUUACCCCAAUGUAUGUUAAUAGAAUGUUGUGACUAUAUAAUAUAUACAACUUUCAGCAACGGAUCUCUUGGCUCUCGCAUCGAUGAAGAACGCAGCGAAAUGCGAUAAGUAAUGUGAAUUGCAGAAUUCAGUGAAUCAUCGAAUCUUUGAACGCACCUUGCGCUCCUUGGUAUUCCGAGGAGCAUGCCUGUUUGAGUGUCAUUAAUAUAUAUAU